UACGAAGGGGGCUAGCGUUGUUCGGAAUUACUGGGCGUAAAGGGCGCGUAGGCUGUGCUGUAAGUCGGGUGUGAAAGCCCCGGGCUCAACCUGGGAAUUGCAUUCGAGACUGCUCUGCUAGGGUGCGGAAGAGGGGAGCGGAAUUUCCGGUGUAGCGGUGAAAUGCGUAGAUAUCGGAAGGAACACCAGUGGCGAAAGCGGCUCCCUGGUCCAGCACCGACGUUCAGGCACGAAAGCGUGGGGAGCAAACAGG
rnacentral:rRNA from 1 species